AGUGGAAAUGAUUAUAUGCAAGUAGGAGAUUAUUAAAAAAAAAAAAAUCCUCAUAGGUUAUUAACAUGAUUAAUAGAACUAAGUAGGAUUUUUUUUUAAAAAUAAAAUAAAAUCCUCAUAGGUUAUUAACAUGAUUAACAAAACCAAAUAAAUGGGUUCAAAUCAUUUAUAUAGGUUAUGAGAUUCAAUAGCAUUCUUGAGUUAUUUAUUAUCACCAUUAUGUUAGCUCAACUUGCUUGCUUUUUCUACCUUAGCGCUCACAACAGCCGUCACAGUUGCAGAGAUUCUGAAGAAAAAAGGGCUGGCUAUUGAGAAGAGGAUUUUGAUGUCUACAGUUGACAUGAAGGAUGAAUCCAAGGGCUGUCUCAUUCCAAAAGCGAAGGUUGGCACUGUUAAUGCUAGUUUUUAAUAUUUGUCAUGUCAAAUUAAUCAUCCUUACUACCUUCUUCUUCUUCUUCUUUUCUUAUUUGAAGUGAUCAAAUUCAAAUACCCAUGCUUUUUUAACCAGCAUGGUUGAUUAUUUCU